rnacentral:rRNA from 1 species
GUGGAUUAGGUACCCUAGUAGUCCACGCCCUAAACGGUGGGCACUAGGUGUAGGGCUCGUAAGGGUUCUGUGCCGAAGGGAAACCAUUAAGUGCCCCGCCUGGGGAGUACGGCCGCAAGGUUGAAACUCAAAGGAAUUGACGGGGGCCCGCACAAGCGGUGGAGCAUGUGGUUUAAUUCGACGCAACGCGAAGAACCGUACCUGGGCUUGACAUGUUAGUGGUAGGAAACUGAAAGGGGACCGACCUGUAGCAAUACAGGAGCUAAUACAGGUGCUGCAUGGCCGUCGCCAGCU